UUAGGCCUGAUGGGGUGACUGAUCAAGCAUUACGAAUUUCAAAGUACGUAUUUCUUUACUGAAUCAACGUCAACGCAACCAAGGAAUCACAUACGACAGCUACGAUAGACGAGUUAGAAGGAGCGACUCUAUUGCUUAGGACAGGUUAGGAUAGGUUAGGCCUGCAAGGGUGACUGCUUAUACAUUAAAAAUUUUCAAGUACGUAUUUCUUAACUGAAUCAACGUAAACACAACCAAGGAUUCACAUACGACAGCUACGAUAGACGAGUUAGAAGGAGCGACUCUAUUGCUUAGGGUAGGUUAGGAUAGGUUAGGUGUGCUCGGGUGACUGUUUAAGCUUUACGAAUUUUCAAGUACGUAUUUCUUAACCGAAUCAACGUCAACACAACCAAGGAAUCACACACGACAGCUUCGAUUGAUGAGACUGAUAAGUGAACUCUAUUGCUUAAGUAAGGUUAGGUUAGGUUAAGCUUGCUGGGGUAAGUUCUAUUAGUCUUUCGCUCCUAGUAAUGUGUGGGGCAGUUUCCUUUGUUUAUGAAUUUCAAAGAUCGUAUAACCGUACCGUACAACCAAUAAGUUAGAAGGAGUGGACUAUAUCGCUAAAGUCAGGUGUGCUGGGGUAAGUUCUAUCAGUCUUUCGCUCAUGUUAAAGUGUUUACGAAUUUCAAAGCACGUAUUUCUCAGAUGAAUCAACGUCAAGACAACCAAUGAGUUAGAAAGAGCGAACUCUAUUGCUCAGGAUAGGUUAGGUUAGGUGUGCUGGGGCAAGUUCUAUCAGUCUUGCGCUCCUAGUAAAGUGUGGGGCAGAGUUUCCUUUGUUUACGAGGGUAGGAGGAGAAGGAGGGCGGAACCUUAGCGUUUACGAGAGCGCUCUCUUGGAAGCCGCUGUGACCUGUCGACUGGCGCCCUGUGAAAGAAACGCCACAUGAGAGAGAGAGAGAGAGAGAGAGAGAGAGAGAGAGAGAGAGAGAGAGAGAGAGAGAGAGAGAGAGAGAGAGAGAGAGAGAA